AACGUAGGAUCCGAGCGUUAUCCGAAUUCACUGGGCGUAAAGCGCUUGUAGGCGGCAUGGCAAGUUGGAUGUAAAACCUCCUGGCUCAACUGGGAGAGGACGUUCAAUACUGUCAGGCUAGAGGACGGUAGAGGGAGGUGGAAUUCCCGGUGUAGUGGUGAAAUGCGUAGAUAUCGGGAGGAACACCAGAGGCGAAGGCGGCCUCCUGGACCGUAACUGACGCUGAGAAGCGAAAGCUAGGGGAGCGAACGGG
rnacentral:rRNA from 1 species